AAUGCCGGAUGCUCCAUCACACCGCAUGGUGUGUUGGGAAAGCCUUUGCGGCAUGGGAUGGGGUCGCGUCCUAUCAGCUUGAUGGCGGGGUAACGGCCCACCAUGGCUUCGACGGGUAGCCGGCCUGAGAGGGCGACCGGCCACAUUGGGACUGAGAUACGGCCCAGACUCCUACGGGAGGCAGCAGUGGGGAAUAUUGCACAAUGGGCGCAAGCCUGAUGCAGCGACGCCGCGUGAGGGAUGGAGGCCUUCGGGUUGUAAACCUCUUUUGUUAGGGAGCAAGGCAUUUUGUGUUGAGUGUACCUUUCGAAUAAGCACCGGCUAACUACGUGCCAGCAGCCGCGGUAAUACGUAGGGUGCAAGCGUUAUCCGGAAUUAUUGGGCGUAAAGGGCUCGUAGGCGGUUCGUCGCGUCCGGUGUGAAAGUCCAUCGCUUAACGGUGGAUCCGCGCCGGGUACGGGCGGGCUUGAGUGCGGUAGGGGAGACUGGAAUUCCCGGUGUAACGGUGGAAUGUGUAGAUAUCGGAAAA
rnacentral:rRNA from 1 species